rnacentral:siRNA from 1 species
AAACUAAGGUGCAAGACAGUUGU